UCCCGGAUGGCUCACUGUGGGCUUUUCCUCCUUUCCCCUCUCCCUACCCAACAGCCUGCCAAGCUCCGGCAUUACUUGGGGCCACUUGGCAGGACCUUUCUUUAUGUACCUCUGUCUCUGCUCGCUUGGAGACAGACUGCUGCCCCUGUUCUUGUCUAGGCUCUGAGUUUCAUCUGCUAGGUGACCUUGGCAAGUCCCGGAGUAACUGUGGUGCCAGUCAAACCAAACAGCUUCAUGUAGAAGAAUGAAACUGGAACCUUAUUUCUCAUCCUGUGCCAAAUUCAACUCUAAAUGGAUCAAAGACCACAAGACCCAAGACCCUCCUUCUGAGAGAGGAGAAAGUAGAGAAGAGGCUUGAACUCACCGGAACAAUAAAAGGACUUUCUGAACAGGACCCCGGGAGUGCAGGAAUCAAGACCAACAAUUAAUAAACAGGACCUCAUAAAACUAAAAAAUAAAAAAUCUGCACAGAAAAGGACACCCUCACUCCAGUAAAGUAGCUCCCUACUGAAUGGAAAAACACAAGCAAAAACUUUGUCAGCUAGGUGUCUGAUGGAGAUAACAAAAUUACUAAUUCAUGAAACUCAUAAGUCCAAAGUGUGCCUCAGGCACAGCUGGAGUCAGGCAAGUCCCAAGGGUCUCGGGCCUCUUUGCUUUGGCCUUGUCUUUUGGUCUAUUCAGAAUAACCUUCUCCUGCUUACAGGAUUAAUAAAUGCAGAGAUUUUUGUCUUCCCAACAAUUUAAUCAAAACUUUAAUAAUGAGCCUCGCUGACUUAAGGUCAAUCUCCUGAGGUCACGCAUGUUGUGGAAUUUAUUUUAACAGGGUAAGGAUGUGUUAGAUUUGUUUAUGUGUGGAAUACUACUUUAACUGUGUAAGGGUACAUUACAUUUAUUUAUGCUGCCUUUGUUAACGAUGUAAAGGUGUGUUACAUUUGUUUAUGCUGCAUUUCUUUAAUGAUGAAAGGAUGUGUGCUUAAUUAUGCAAA